UACGUAGGGUGCGAGCGUUAAUCGGAAUUACUGGGCGUAAAGCGUGCGCAGGCGGUUUUGUAAGCCAGAUGUGAAAGCCCCGGGCUCAACCUGGGAACUGCAUUUGUGACUGCAUCGCUGGAGUGCGGCAGAGGGGGAUGGAAUUCCGCGUGUAGCAGUGAAAUGCGUAGAUAUGCGGAGGAACACCGAUGGCGAAGGCAAUCCCCUGGGCCUGCACUGACGCUCAUGCACGAAAGCGUGGGGAGCAAACAGG
rnacentral:rRNA from 1 species